UGGCUUAGUUGGUAGAGCAUGGUGUUUGCAAUGCCAGGGUUGUGGGUUUGAUUCCCAC
rnacentral:tRNA from 1 species